CCUAUUUAAAAAGUUUAUUUAUAAAUGAUCGCGUAUUCAAAGCCUGAAUUUAACUAACGCUUUACAUAUCAUUCCAGUUUUACGUAUAUUUAAUUAUUUAAAUUUCUUUCCUUUGAUGCUCUUUCAUAUUCUAAUUUUUGAAUUCUAUCAGUAGAAUUCUACAGUCUGCAUUUAACUUGAAGAUUUUCAAAAUGAUAGAUUUAACUGAAAAUAAAGGCAAUAAACAAGAAAAUCAAUAUCUUAAAUCGGAGAGCCAAAUAUAUGAUUCAGACGAACAACCUGACUUUUCACAUAGGAUUAUUGAAAAUAUAAUUAAAAAGAUAAAAAAUUACAAAAAAUUAAGUUAUAAAGCAAUAAUCUUCUUGAGAGUUCUUGAGUGCUGCCAGGGACACUGGAACUAAUUCUGAGAUGACUGAGCCAUGCGGGAGAGGAAUGAACUUAGGCCUGCUGUAACACCCAGCAAAUGUUGGAAGAAAUAGGUUCCCUGUAUAGUUGUAGAAGGGAAUUGGUGACAUCUCAUUGUGUUGUUUGUGAGCCACUAGACGAAGGACCCACUGGAAUUUCUUGCUCAGCUUAGCCUUUAUUGCUCCUGCAAAGCCCAAGGCAACAGUGUAUAGUUUUCCAAGAUGGUCAUAGAAAGACACCAAGUCACAGAAUUUGGAGAAGUGUAGAUGGGUAGUCUCGUACAACUUAAGUUCAACU
rnacentral:misc_RNA from 1 species